rnacentral:rRNA from 1 species
UACGUAGGGGGCUAGCGUUGUCCGGAUUUAUUGGGCGUAAAGAGCGUGUAGGCGGCUCGAUAAGUCCGCUGUGAAAGUCCAGGGCUCAACCCUGGGAUGCCGGUGGAUACUGUCGGGCUCGAGUCCGGAAGAGGCGAGUGGAAUUCCUGGUGUAGCGGUGAAAUGCGCAGAUAUCAGGAGGAACACCAAUGGCGAAGGCAGCUCGCUGGGACGUGACUGACGCUGAGACGCGAAAGCGUGGGGAGCAAACAGG